AUUGAACGCUGGCGGCAGGCCUAACACAUGCAAGUCGAGCGAGCGGCGGACGGGUGAGUAAUGUCUGGGAAACUGCCUGAUGUGGGGGGAUAACUACUGGAAACGGUAGCUAAUACCGCAUACCAUCAGAAGUGCACUGACGGGAUUAGCUAGUUGGUGGGGUAACGGCUCACCUAGGCGACGAUCCCUAGCGGGUCUGAGAGGAUGACCAGCCACACAGGAACUGAGACACGGUCCAGACUCCGACGGGAGGCAGCAGUGGGGAAUAUUGCACAAUGGGCGCAAGCCUGAUGCAGCCAUGCGGCGUGUGUAAAGAAGGCCUUCGGGUUGUAAAGCACUUUCAGCGGGGAGGCGUUACCCGCAGAAGAAGCACCGGCUAACUCCGGGCCAGCAGCCGCGGUAAUAC
rnacentral:rRNA from 1 species